GUAUGCGCACUAAAAAAAAGUAAUUAAGGCCGAUAUAUUAUUUGCUCACAAUCCACGUUAUAACAUAUAUAUAUGUAGGUACUCACAAAACUUCUAUAAAAUAAAAAGCUUGAUUAAAGUUAACAAACCGCACGCUAUACAAUUAGAAUAAAACAAAAUAUUUAUCAUUGUUGCCUUUAGUAGUCACCAGUAUAGUUAGUAGAGAAGUAUUACAAUUUAGAUAGUCACUAAUUCUUUUUUUCUUUCGUUUGAGUACCUUAAAUGGUUACUUAAUUAACUAUUGAAAAUACUUAAAAAUCCUAAUAAAACACCAGCGUGCAUUAGAAUUCACAAUUCACAACAACGUACCUAAUAUUAUAUGUUCAAACAGUAUGCUUGCAUUCAAAUUUUAAGCGAAGAAGAAAAGAACUGCUUUUAUAUUACAAUAUGUAUUAAUAUCGCCAAGUAUUGCCUAACCAGUUUGAGAACUUCAGUUUGAAUGAAUAUAAUAUGUGCUUUAUAUUCCUAUUUAUUGUAGCUACAUGAAGCUUAAUAUGAAAAGGAUAAAAGAAGUCGGAAUCGGUGAAUAAAUUCAUAGUACAUAAUAUAGACAUGUUUCGAUCAAUCAGGCAUUACUGCAGUAGCUAUAUCCACCAACAGGUACGUGAAAACAAUAUGAUAAUUUAAAUCAAUCGAUAAUAUUAUUAUUCAAUUAAUUUAUUAUACAUAUUAUAUUCAU